AUACUUACCUGUCAAGAAGUAUGCUGAUUGUGAACAUAGAUAUCACAGAGAUAUGUUUAUCCCUUGUACUCCAGAUGUGGUAACACCUGCAAUUUCCCCAAACGUGAAAAGCUGAACUGCAUAAUUCAUGGCAGCAGAGUGACUACAUUCCAACUCUGC
ensembl:snRNA U1 U1 spliceosomal RNA